CAAGAAGCAAGAGCAACCGGCAUUGAUACUGAGUUGACGAAAAAACACAAUUGUUGACGGAUAUACACAGCUGUAUGGUUGGAUAUGAAAAUGGUUUCCUACAAGAAAGUCAAUUAAAAAAAGAUAAAGUAGAAAAGGAAAAGGCGAAAAACUGGGCGAAACAAAGAAAAAGCAAGAGCAAGAAGAUACUUCUGGUCCUGGCAGAAAGAGGAAAAGCACAGAGUUUCUUGAAUACCUUAAAUAUAAACAAGAUACCAACAAGGAAAAUACCGAGAAACAACUGAAAAUUUGUGAGCAAGAAAUUAUUUUGGAAAAACAAAGAUUGGAUGUACAGCAAAACAUGCAGAAUCAAAUGGUCGAGCAAAUGAAAAUGCAGCAGGAAUCGCAAAAGGCAAUGUUCAAUUUAUUUGAAACAUUUAUGAAUAAGUUCAAACAAUCUUAAUAUAUAAGACUGUAUAGCUGUUCCACU
rnacentral:lncRNA from 1 species